rnacentral:sRNA from 1 species
AUCUGUACAAAGGCCGGAUAGCUGACGUUUAUAGUUCCAAAACCAACUGAGACUACCCCAUCUAUCAGAUCCUUCCAUUGAAAUAUCGGUGAAUUUUCAAUGUACUGAAGUCCAAUGAAUAAAUAUCUUGUCGAUGAAGUCCGAGCUCUUAUCUCUGGGGUUUUUUUCCGGUUCUUUAUCUCAUACACAAUUCUCAUCUAUGCGGUGUUGACUAGGAAGCAUUUUCCAAUAUAGGAUUUUUUGUAAAUCAUUAUGAUCUAUUGUUUGUUGGAAUGCAGACAAUCGUACCCCAAUAAGCAGUGAUAUUUCGUUUUGAAAUUAGGAUAAUGGUAGGUGGUCGCCCGGAAAAUGAGUAAACCAGCUAAUCAGAUGUGAAAACUUUGAAAGGAAGAAAUGAUUUCAAGAAGUCCAUUUUUGCAAGCC